rnacentral:tRNA from 1 species
GGGGAUUUAGCUCAGUGGUUCCGGCACCUGCCUUGCAAGCACGAGGUCCCAAGUUCAAUCCCCA